GCUGGUUCCUUUUCUACAGAGUUGUCAAUAGAGAAUAGAGGACCAAAUGUCUGGGGAUGUUUAUAAAAGAGGAUUCUUUUUCAGGUAUGAAUUAGACUAGAUGUUUUCUGAGGUCCAUUCUCAUUCUGUGACUCUGUGAUCUUGGUUCUGCAGUGUUGAGAGAAGCAGGCUGAAUCAAAUUUAUGCCCCAUCCAAAUUGUGAAGGGCUCAUCUUCUGAAACUAAGGGCAUGUGUAUAGUUCCAGAAAAGAACUUCUUAUAUCUAUUGUAUUUUUCACACUGGGUUAUAAUAGGAUUUACCUGUAGGAAUUUGAAUUGUAUCUCUUGUGAUCCUGGCUGGUGGUUUGGUGAUCUCAUUGCUUCUGAAGUAUAUUGUAAUUAGAGGAUUAAACCAUCACACAUUUAGGGGCCAUUAAGAAUUUGGAGCAACCAACCACUCAAACGGUUUCUUAUUCUAACAAAAGAGACUCAGGGUGAUAUAUUCAAGACUGAGCAAUCUAAUCCUUCCACUGAUGCUCCUACAUGUCCAGCAAUAGCAUUUACACUUCCAAAAUGGUGCUGAAAGACAUAAAAGAAACUUAAUGAAAAUGUCCUUCAGAAUGCAUGAAGUGAAAUAUUCAGAGCACUCCACUUGUGAAUCUAUGCUCGUCAUCUCACAGUAUCUGCCAAACUAUUUCAAAGACCUGGUCAGAGUUUCAGAACUAGUAACACUACCUGAAAAUGAAUGUUGGAGCCAGAUAAGAAACUAUAGGCUGCUUUCAAGAAGGUUACAAGAAAACUGCAUCUUGCAUUACUAAUCCUUUAUCUUCAUGUUAACAAAAAGAUUACUGACACAUUUUUGAAUGAAAGAAAAUAAAACAGCAAAUGCAUCUUAGAAAAUGUUUAAC
rnacentral:lncRNA from 1 species